CACAACCUCUUUGGGCAACCUGUUCCAGUGCCUCACCACCCUCUGAGUGAAGAAUUUCCUCCUAACCUCUAAUCUAAAUCUCCCCUCUUUUAGUUAAAACCAUUCCCCCUUGUCAUGCCGUUAUCUGAUUGAGCAAGGAGUUGCUCUCCAUCUUUUUUAUAAGUUCCCUUUAAGUACUGAAAAGCCACAAUGAAGAAGAUAAAGCUCAAGGGAGACCUUAUUGC